rnacentral:rRNA from 1 species
GAUUGAACGCUGGCGGUAUGCUUAACACAUGCAAGUCGAACGGAAACGAUACUAGCUUGCUAGUAGGCGUCGAGUGGCGGACGGGUGAGUAACGCGUAGGAAUCUGCCUGAUAGUGGGGGAUAGCCCGAAGAAAUUCGGAUUAAUACCGCAUAAUCUAUUCGUAGUAAAGUGGGGGACUUUCGAGCCUCACGCUAUCAGAUGAGCCUGCGUAAGAUUAGCUUGUUGGUAGGGUAAAAGCCUACCAAGGCGACGAUCUUUAGCUGGUCUGAGAGGAUGAUCAGCCACAUCGGGACUGAGACACGGCCCGAACUCCUACGGGAGGCAGCAGUGGGGAAUAUUGGACAAUGGGGGCAACCCUGAUCCAGCAAUACCGCGUGUGUGAAGAAGGCCUGAGGGUUGUAAAGCACUUUCAAUUGUGAAGAAAAGUUAGCGGUUAAUAACUGUUAGCCUUGACGUUAACUUUAGAAGAAGCACCGGCUAACUCCGUGCCAGCAGCCGCGGUAAUACGGAGGGUGCAAGCGUUAAUCGGAAUUACUGGGCGUAAAGCGUGCGUAGGCGGUUUAUUAAGUCAGAUGUGAAAGCCCCGGGCUUAACCUGGGAACUGCAUUUGAAACUGGUCAACUAGAGUAUGGUAGAGGAAAGUGGAAUUUCUGGUGUAGCGGUGAAAUGCGUAGAUAUCAGAAGGAACAUCAAUGGCGAAAGGCAGCUUUCUGGACCAAUACUGACGCUGAGGUACGAAAGCGUGGGUAGCAAACAGGAUUAGAUACCCUGGUAGUCCACGCCGUAAACGAUGAUAACUAGCCGUUGGGGGGAUUUACCCUUUAGUGGCGAAGCUAACGCGUUAAGUUAUCCGCCUGGGGAGUACGGCCGCAAGGUUAAAACUCAAAGGAAUUGACGGGGACCCGCACAAGCGGUGGAGCAUGUGGUUUAAUUCGAUGCAACGCGAAGAACCUUACCUGGUCUUGACAUCCUGCGAACUUUCUAGAAAUAGAUUGGUGCCUUCGGGAACGCAGUGACAGGUGCUGCAUGGCUGUCGUCAGCUCGUGUCGUGAGAUGUUGGGUUAAGUCCCGUAACGAGCGCAACCCCUAUCCUUAUUUGCCAGCACAUCAUGGUGGGAACUAUAAGGAGACUGCCGGUGAUAAACCGGAGGAAGGCGGGGACGACGUCAAGUCAUCAUGGCCCUUACGACCAGGGCUACACACGUGCUACAAUGGGAAGGACAAAGAGCCGCGAAGCCGCGAGGUGUAGCUAAUCUCAUAAACCUUUUCGUAGUCCGGAUUGGAGUCUGCAACUCGACUCCAUGAAGUCGGAAUCGCUAGUAAUCGUAGAUCAGAAUGCUACGGUGAAUACGUUCCCGGGUCUUGUACACACCGC